rnacentral:lncRNA from 1 species
UGUCAGGAUGUGCUGAAUGAACCCGACUUCACAAUGCGGCAGAGGGGAGUCGUUGGCUGGUCGCAGUCAGGCAGCCACAACAAGGCAGAACAUUCAGGUCCUUCAGGACAACAAGCCACGAGGUUCAGGUGUUAGUGGGACAUGAUCCACCAGAUGGAAGAUCCAAUCAUCGCCCAGAAACUAAAAGCAGAAGACAAGCAGCUGAACCCUGGUGACGCUCGCUCACUCGCUCACUCGCUCACUCGCUCACUCGCUCACGCUGAACCCGUCCUGCGCCCCAUCGACAGGUUGUCAGUUCAUCACAGCCAUAUCUGCACUCACACUGACGGCUCAUUUGAAUCUCCCAGCAGCCCCUGCUUUCCUUUGACUGUGGGAGGAGGUGAGAGCACCGAGGGAGAAGCCACGCACUUGUUUCACAUCACAGUGAUGGAGCUGGGUUCAAACACUACUUACAGCAUUACUCACUGUGCUGCCAGUGCAACCUCUACCACUGAUGCACAGCAGUGAUGCAAACACACCACCUGUAGGGUUGAAAAUGGAAAAUGACCAGCACAGUGUAAUAGAUUCAAGUCGUCUUCCUGGGGAAGAGAUUUAUUGUGUGCUCGCUUUCUUCUCCCCUCUGGCCUCAGGUGUCUGAUCUGGGUCACUGCAUCGGUGCAGCUCAGCUUGUUUGUACACAGCCAAGACAUUUGUCUGAUCGGCUGAGCACCGACGUGGACGCAAGCACUGAACAUGUCUCCUGAAAGACAGAACUCUUCUAAUCAGUCAGAUUAACCUGUGUGUGUGUGUGUGUGUGUGUGUGUGUGUGUGUGUGUGUGUGUGUGUGUGUGUGUGUGUGUGUGUGUGUGCGUGCGUGUGCGUGUGUGCGUGCGUGCGCGUGUGUGCGUGCGUGUGUGUGUGUGCGUGCCUGUCUGUGUGUAUGUGCGUGUGUGUGUGCGUGCAUGCAUGCGUGUGUGUGUGCAUGUGUACAUGCGCUUGCGUGUGUGUGUGCGUGUGUGCGUGCGUGUGUGUGCGUGCGUGUGCAUGUGUGUGCGUGUUGUGAGGUUCUUGGUGAGCCGUGGAGCGGGCGCUGGGCAGAACGUCCACCGUCCGUGUGGGGCCACGGGACGCCGUGCAGCCACAGACGCUGGUGAAGGGUGGAGACAAGGGUAUCAGGGCGGUGUAUUUAUAUCCCUUGUGUCUCACAGCUUACAGAGUGAUAGACAGGCAAACUGAAAGCUUCUGUCACACAAAAUUCUCCAUGGCAGCAUCUUGGCCGAGCCCCCACUCCUCCCCCAUAGGAGGAAACAAACCAGGGAAGGAUCUGCGGCGCAGAUGGGAAACGAAGGCAAAUGAAAAGUAUUGAAUAAAUUCAGAUCAAAGAACUGGGGCA